ensembl:lncRNA
CUUACUAACACAGAUUUAGACAGAUUUGUGAAGAAUAUUUGAGAGAAAUAGGCCUUUUGUGUUCAUAGAAAAAGUCUUAGAUCUUUGAGUUCAGCUCAUGAUAAAAGGGGGCAAAAACAAAAGUUGUUCAGUGUAUUUGCAAAGCUAGCAUAGCAUACAAUGGGCAGAAACAUUGUUGAAAGACAAUUACAAACAAGUUCAACUUUUGAACAGGGAGUGUAAAAGAAACCAAAGAAUUAGAAACCUACAUAGGACUCUUUGGGGAUUUUGGAAUUUGCACUGUGCAAUCAAUGAAAGACCACUUACACGUACUUGUUUCUAUCCAUUCGGAAGCGUGUUUGUAUCCAAGGCCAGUGCACAAAGACACAACACUUAGUGUAAGGAGCACAAAACCUGGACUACUGAGAAAUGGAAAAUGGAAGUUCGGAAGCACAGCGUGUGAAGUAAAUAUCCACCUCCUUCAUCACUCAAAGAACUGGAGGCUUUUCUUCUUGACUAAUGGGGUUCCAUCUGCCUGGAACUGAAAGAUGAGAGAGACCGGCAUCAGUUUCCACCGGCUAAUACGACGCAACACAACGAGCUGGCCCAAAGCACGUCAGCUGUAGCCAAUGUAUCACAUUAGUAGCAGACUUAAUGCUAUGAGAUGUAACUGCGUGGCUAAAAGAACAGUGCAUCACCAGGCAGACAAGGCCAGCUUCCAUUAGGCCCUAGCCAUUUCUUCUCUGUUAAUCUUUGAUGGGACUGUCAUGUGAGGAUAAAUGCCAAACAGCUCUACCUCUUUCACUGGGUCUUUGAUUUGUGACCUGAAUGCACUUAAUCUCAAUGGCAUUAUAGAUUUAUACCUAUUUUUAUGUAGAGAAUCACCUUGGAUUUUCUAGAUAUAGAUGGAAUCAAUGCGUUAUAGUUAUUUGUGGAUGAAAGGAAGUCUCAUUUAUAUGAACCGGGUAGAGGAAGUCUCAUGUCUUUCUCUUUGGAUAGCCUGCUUGAGUGAGGAACAGAUUACCAUUUCUGUACAUGACAUACAAUUAAUUGCUGUAUGUGACAACUUGGCUUGAUCUGAACUGAUCACUACCCAUUGAGAAAACCAGAAACAUUCCCAAAACAUUAGCUAACAUUACUUCUAUUUAGAAAGUAAGCUAACAUCUGUUUGAUAACAUUGCACAAACAUUCAAGUAAUCUUUUUGAUCCCCAAAUAUCUUUCAAGCAAUGUUUCAAAUAGAAUAUUCCUGGAUGGUCCACCUAAAUAAAAUAUUUUUCACAAUAUCUGUA